rnacentral:misc_RNA from 1 species
UUUUUUUUUGCUUUCUUUAUUUGAUCCCUAGUUUUUUUUCUUCUUCAUAACAGAUUUAUUAUCGUUAUUGUUUCUUGCAUCUCUCGCAAAAUUCCGGGUAGGCGCGAAUUCUCCCAAUUUGUGACCUAUCAUAGAAUCUGUUAUAUAAAUAGGUAAAUGUUCCUUUCCAUUAUGAAUACCAAUUGUAUGGCCAACCAUUGGAGGUAUAAUGGUAGAUGCCCGAGACCAAGUGACUAUUAUUUCUUUCUCCUCUCCCAUUUUGAUUUUUUGAAUUUUUUCCGAUAAAUGCUUAGCUACAAAUGUUUUUUUUUGACGUAUNCACAGCUGAUUACUCCUUUUUUUACAUGUUAAAGAUUGGCAUUCUAUGUCCAAUAUCUCGAUCUAAGUA